UCUCGUUCUAAGCUCCACAGUCCGCUCUCUCUCUCACUUCACGUUCUGAGAGAGCCACAGGCACGGCCGCACGAGAAUAUAGACUCGGAGGCGAUGAGCUAGCAAGUCGCGACCUCGUCACCGCCGCGGAGGCCGGCGUACUACGUGCAGAGUCUGUCACGGGACUCGUACGACGACGAGAAGAUGGGGACGACGGCGUCGUUCCACUCAACGCCGGUGCUGAGCUCGGUGGGGUCACCGCCGCACUCUCACUACUCCUCCACUGUUGGCCGCCACUCCCGCAAGUCCUCCUCCAGUCGAUUCUCCGUCGGAUCUCCCCCGCCGCCGC
rnacentral:lncRNA from 1 species